rfam:Exophiala xenobiotica strain CBS 118157 unplaced genomic scaffold supercont1.3, whole genome shotgun sequence.
GCUUCUAUGGCUCAGUUGGUAGAGCGCGGCACUAGUAAUGCCGAGGUCCACGGUUCAAAUCCGUGUGGAAGCA